CUCACCUUGCUGGCCGAGUUACUGGCUCCCAGCCUCUCCCCUCCCCUGAUUCAUCCCUCCUCUGUUAUCAUUCCAGAGGAAACUCAGCUCUUUAUCAUCUCUGAGGUACUAACCAAAACACAGACAGCUCGUCGCUCAGGGUGCGUGACUGCCACAGAGCCACUCCCAGUGGCUUCUCCACAUGCAGCUUUUCCUGAGUCCUGGUGUUACCUCAUCUAAAUAGAUCAUUUUUCACAUGUGACUGGCCAUUUGACUAUGGAGGGCAUCACACCUGUAGGUAAGGCCCAGAGCAAGAAGAGCAGUCAGCCCACAAUGAAUACCCAGGAAAGGCCUGUGGCACAGCAGAACGCUGCUACCAGUCAGUCGGAUGGUGGGUGCAUGGGAAAAGCUACAAGGCAAGGAGAUCCAGGGGCAAUAAACAGGAUACUCAACACCAACAAUAAAAACCUAAGUGCCCGUAGCUGGGAUGCUGUGAUGGCACCAGAUUCCGGUCACAGAGCGUGGCAGUCUGAACAAGAUUCAGCAUAACAGGUAGUGGGAAGACUUCUACAAGUGCUUCAACUAGAGAUAACUUCUCCAUGUAUGUCAAAGUUCUUGGAAUACUGGGAAAUAGUGAGAUUUAACCAUCAUUGACAAUAGAAGACUGUAGCAGAUCCGAAUAAAUUGGAUUCUAAAUCACUUUAACGUCAAGUGCUUGAGAAGGACAUCACUGCUGCAAUACAAGACUUACAAGUUGUCCCAAAAUAUAUCAUGAAAUUCUGUGGCACUAUAAUGUACUAAAGGAUGAAUUGGUCAUUGCCAGACCAUUUACACAACUCGGUAUGAUCCAAUAGAUUUCCCCAAUAAGGUACCCGACAACCUCAUAUAAAGUGCUGUUUCCUCUUUCUCCCCUCUUCCUUGAACUCCAGCCAAACUGCACAGCCU